rnacentral:rRNA from 1 species
GACGUAGGGCGCGAGCGUUGUCCGGAUUUACUGGGCGUAAAGAGCGCGCAGGCGGUCGUUCAAGUCGCGUGUGAAAGCCCCCGGCUCAACUGGGGAGGGUCACGCGAUACUGAUCGACUCGAAGGCAGGAGAGGGUAGCUGGAAUUCCCGGUGUAGUGGUGAAAUGCGUAGAUAUCGGGAGGAACACCAGUGGCGAAGGCGACUACCUGGCCUGUUCUUGACGCUGAGGCGCGAAAGCUAGGGGAGCAAACGGG